CACUGAUUUCUUGAACUUAUAGUAACUUAGAAUCAUCCCAUUGAAAAACCUGCCAGUCAGUCAUCCAGUGCCCCAGCCAGUGACCAUCAAUCCAUAUAUAAUACUUGGUGCUUAACCAGAACAUUUAACAUAGCUGCUUCAUACCAGCAAAGUGAAGACAAAGUUACAAUAACCUAAGGAAGAAGAUUUGAGGUUGUACAAAAGCAUCAUUGACGACAGGGAAGAGUUCACACAAUGGCAGGGAUUCUCAAACCAGGAAAGCACUCAAAGCUGAGGUUGAACAGAGGAAGGAGGAUGUAAGAGAUUUUGUCACCUUGUUCCCUGGCUGGAGAGUGUGGAUGAUCAGCUACAUCAGAGACCUACAAAAGAUCGCAGACGACAUUUACUCGAU